CCCAUCUCGUUGCAGUUAUAGCACUUGACCUCGGACAUAUCCAAGUUCCGUUGCUUCCACCCUUUAGAUCGGUCAGCCUUACCACGACCUUGUGGCUUGCCUUUUCCUUUGCCUUCUCCAGUUUGUCCGCCGCGCGUUGCGUUGCUUGAGCCUUCGUUGCCAUCACGCCUUCCUUUGCUACUUGGGGACUCCCAAUCUGCACGCGAGUACAAGAGUUGGUCACUACCUCCUCCGUUGCCUUUCUGACAGCCACGAGCAUUCUCUUCCCACGUCCGCAGGCGUCCGAUCGCCUCUGUUAUGGUCAUGUCGUCGAUGUCGUAA
rnacentral:lncRNA from 1 species